rnacentral:rRNA from 1 species
AUUGAACGCUGGCGGCAGGCUUAACACAUGCAAGUCGAGCGGUUUAGUUAGCUUGCUAACUAGAUAGCGGCGAACGGGUGAGUAAUGCCUAGGAAUCUGCCUGAUAGUGGGGGAUAACGUUCGGAAACGAACGCUAAUACCGCAUACGUCCUACGGGAGAAAGGGGGCUUUAUUGCUCUCGCUAACAGAUGAGCCUAGGUCAGAUUAGCUAGUUGGUAGGGUAAAGGCCUACCAAGGCGACGAUCUGUAGCGGGUCUGAGAGGAUGAUCCGCCACACUGGAACUGAGACACGGUCCAGACUCCUACGGGAGGCAGCAGUGGGGAAUAUUGGACAAUGGGCGAAAGCCUGAUCCAGCCAUGCCGCGUGUGUGAAGAAGGCCUUUUG